UACGUAGGGUGCAAGCGUUAUCCGGAUUUAUUGGGCGUAAAGAGCGUGUAGGCGGCCUGAAAGGUCAGCUGUGAAAACUCGAGGCUCAACCUCGAGACGUCGGUUGAAACCAUCUGGCUAGAGUCCGGAAGAGGAGUGUGGAAUUCCCGGUGUAGCGGUGAAAUGCGCAGAUAUCGGGAAGAACACCCGUGGCGAAGGCGGCACUCUGGGACGGUACUGACGCUGAGACGCGAAAGCGUGGGGAGCGAACAGG
rnacentral:rRNA from 1 species